GACGAACGCUGGCGGCGUGCUUAACACAUGCAAGUCGAACGGAAAGGCCCUGCUUUUGUGGGGUGCUCGAGUGGCGAACGGGUGAGUAACACGUGAGUAACCUGCCCUUGACUUUGGGAUAACUUCAGGAAACUGGGGCUAAUGCCGGAUAGGAGCUCCUGCUGCAUGGUGGGGGUUGGAAAGUUUCGGCGGUUGGGGAUGGACUCGCGGCUUAUCAGCUUGUUGGUGGGGUAGUGGCUUACCAAGGCUUUGACGGGUAGCCGGCCUGAGAGGGUGACCGGCGACAAUGGGACUGAGAGACGGCGCAGACGCCUACGGGAGGCAGCAGUGGGGAAUAUUGCACAAUGGGCGGAAGCCUGAUGCAGCAACGCCGCGUGCGGGAUGACGGCCUUCGGGUUGUAAACCGCUUUCGCCUGUGACGAAGCGUGAGUGACGGUAAUGGGUAAAGAAGCACCGGCUAACUACGUG
rnacentral:rRNA from 1 species